UACAGAGGUCUCAAGCGUUGUUCGGAUUCAUUGGGCGUAAAGGGUGCGUAGGCGGCGCGGUAAGUCGGGUGUGAAAUCUCGGAGCUUAACUCCGAAACUGCAUUCGAUACUGCCGUGCUUGAGGACUGGAGAGGAGACUGGAAUUUACGGUGUAGCGGUGAAAUGCGUAGAUAUCAGGAGGAACACCGGUGGCGAAGGCGGCCCUCUGGACGGUGACUGACGCUGGGACGCGAAAGCGUGGGGAGCAAACAGG
rnacentral:rRNA from 1 species